rnacentral:rRNA from 1 species
GACGAACGCUGGCGGCGUGCCUAAUACAUGCAAGUAGAACGCAGUUGCGAACGGGUGAGUAACGCGUAGGUAACUGCCUCAUAGCGGGGGAUAACUCUUGGAAACGAUAGCUAAUACCGCAUCCAGUGAGAUGGACCUGCGUUGUAUUAGCUAGUUGGUGAGGUAAAGGCUCACCAAGGCGACAAUACAUAUCCCACCUGAGAGGGUGAUCGUCAAAACUGAGAGUGAGACACGGGCCAGACGUCUACGGGAGGCAGCAGAAGGGAAUGGUCGGGAAUUGACGGAAGUCGGACCGUGAAAAGCAGAGAAAGUGAAGAAGGUUUUCGGAACGUAAAGCUCUAUUGUUAGUGAAGCGAUAACUAACCAGAAAGAGACGGAUAACUACGUGCCAGCAGCCGCGGUAAUAC